ensembl:lincRNA
UUAUUUUCAGUGAGAUAAAAGCUCUGGGAAUGAUUUUGAAAGUUCUGGAUCCCUGGGACACACCCCAAACAACUCCUGUUACAUUUCCCACCAACACUCAGGGCCAGGAGUAUAAUAUUCUUCAUAUGACAUUCUGGGUUUGGGGAUCACCUUCUAUUACACUCUGUAUUGCCAUCUGCCAUUUAGGGGCCUCCUUCAGUGCUUGCUGGGAGGUUAGGGGUGACCUACUGUACAACCUCUGUCACCAACAAUUUCAGUGCUCCUGAACAUUAGGCAGUGGUGACUAAGGUCCUGGAAAUAUACUGGGUGCAGGGAUAAUGCAAUCUGUAGAGCUUAAGUUGCUAGUGGUUUUCAAAAUCAUAGAAUCAUGUUUUUGUACUAUAGCGAAUUACCAGCACUUCCACUGCCUGAUGUUUCUUUUCUCUUUCAGUUUUCAGCCUUCAUGCAUACACCUUUUGAAGAGGAAAACAAUACACUUGUUGUCUCUCAGCCAGGGUGCCUGCAACAAACUGUGCAGCCAGAAGAGGGAAACAUGCAGACUUCACACAGAAAGACAUCUCCAGGAGAGAAUUGAACCCUGUACCAGGGAGCAGCAAAGCAGCAGUGCUAACUGCCCCAAGAAAGGUGACACUCUUCACAAACUACAAACACGAUUUUAAAGGCCUGUUGGAUUAUAGCUCUCCAGCUAAAAGGUCUGCCAUGUGUUUUUCAUUGAAAAAAGGUACCAAGAUUAUUAAGCCGUGCAUUGGCCCUUUCAAAUCUAGGUUUUUUAAUUGUGUAAAAAAUGGUUUAAUUGGAAGCAAUCCAACUGGCAUUAUGAGCGGAAAUAUUUUGAUAAAUGACUAAGAAUAUAGCGUGCAACUUUAUGAAUGCAGCAGUUACCCCCGAAUAAGACUGCAUAUAGCAUCACGCUGAAAGAGUGCGAUUUUCUUUUUACUAUAUGAGAACAUGAUGAAAUUUAUAAUGUUUUUAAACGUUUAAAUUUUUUCCUCAGAAUAACAUUUUUUCUUGCUCUGAGGUCCGCUUAAAGCCACCCAGUUUCAUAAGGCAUUAGAUUAACAGUGAUUCCAAUGUUUCUAUUUUUUUUUUUUAUUUAAUAACUGUCCGCGUGUAGCUCAAAUAAGAUCAAAUUCAAGCUGUGUGCACCGGCCAGGUGGCGUAGCGGGCAAAGUCAGUGUUGCAGCUAUUGGAAACCAGGCUCUAAGCCCUGUGGCUUAGAGUAGCCUAGAGCCCCCCCGGCACCUCUUCGCUCAGAGCGGGUUCGAAUCCAACCCGGGUACGGUCCGAUCACGCUCCACCGGCGAAGUGCGUUUUCCAGCAGCCGGGUCUGCACCGGGCCGGUAUUUUUAGGGGGGUGGCCAUUCUAGGUCACACCCCUAAGAAUGGGGAACAUUGCACGGGAUUAAAGUACUAAAAGGGGUUUACAAAACGGGGACGAAUGACGUAAUUGCAGAUAUUGGCGGCGUUUUACGUCACUGUCACUUGGCGUAAAUUCCCCACGAGUGCGGCUCUCUUCCCCUUCCACGCGUGGGUCUGAUUCAAGAUGGCGGUGCCGGCAGUUUGCGAGGUAAUGUUUCUCUUUUUAAACACUUUAAAAUGUAAUUUUUAUUCCCCAAACUGUCUAGAAUCCGUUUUUUUUUGUUUUUGAGGUUUCAUUCAGGUACGAUACUUUUCAGAAAGGUGUCCUUUUAUUGAAUGAACAGUGCAUUUCUGUGCUGUUUGAACGGGAGUGAAGUUUCUCUCGGCAAGGAGAGGAGUUGAAACCAUUUUCUUAGCCAAACCUUGUUGAAUACUAAUGCAUUUUUAUUGGUGUUGUUUUGCAGAA